GUGAUUUUCCCGCGCGUUUGUGUUUUCUUUGUUUUUAUCAAUUUUUUACUAAGUUUAUUUUCUUUAUAAAUCCCUAAUUUUAAUUAUUUUAUAAAGCAAAUUCUAGUGACAUUGCCAGGAUUGUAAAUUUAAGUGAAAUGGAAGAAAAUCUUAGUGAACUGUGCAAUAAACAUUUGCCAAAGUGGCUUCAAGAUAGAGACAGAACAAUUUUCACUCAAUUCAUUGAAAUUAGGCCUAAUAUAACUUUUAUAGCUGUUAUCCUUGUUUCUGGGCAGUACUAUGAAGUUUGGGAUAGAGAAAUCCUUAGGGAAUGUUCUCUGGAAAGAAAUGCUGGAGGUUUCUCAGCUUCUGAGGGAGUUUCCAUGGAUAUUUUCUUUUCGUAUGAGGAAGAAAAUGCUCGUAGGGUGUUCUAUUUAAUUAGAAUUGGAGAAAAGCUUUUCGUUGUGGAGAGACUGAGGAGCAGUUUGAGUGUCCGGAUGAUGGAGGAGAAUGUUUUGUCGGUAGAGAUUGAGGAUAAGUCAGAGGAAGGGAAUCCUACAGUAUUGAUUACAAAGAAGGAUGGCUCGUUUAGGGAGACAAAUUUCUCAGAAAAAGAACUGGAGGAUGCAGAAGAUGAAAUUGAACCAUCAAUAUUUCUCCUGAAUUACUUAGAAUCUCAUAAGAGGCGGCUGGAAAGUGGUCAGGAGGUGAGAAGACAAGUUAUUCGAGAAGAAUUACACAAAAUUCAGCAUGUGGCAAAAUAUGGGCCUCAAGAGAUGCACGAUGGGGUUCCGGAUGAAGCGGCUCCUCUGGUGAAGUAUGGUGAGGUCUGGGCAAAAUUCCACAACGACAGAAUUGUCUUUGGUAUUCCAAUCUUCAAUACAACGUACACUCGACGACGUGUGGCUCUCAAUAUUAGACCAUCAUUGGCAACCACCCAAUUAGAUCGCUUGAGCUAUGAAUUCAAAUUGUACAAAAUUAGAAACGAUUCUUGUACGUUUGAGAAUGUUGAUGAACUAUUUGACUAUGAGGAGCCCUGCUAUGCAAAUUCCUGUGACUUCCAGCACGAAUGGAUGCCAUUGGAGGAAAACAAUCUUCAGCCAGGAUUGUCGGCAAUACUUGUGACUAAUACUCAAGUAAUGAAUUUUACCAAUGUAUCAACGUACAAAUUCACUGUGUAUGUUCAGUAUGAGAUUCAGCACGAGGGAAAAGUGUAUUCGCUACAAUUGUUGGCUGGAGAUAUGGAAAUUACUCCUAAGAUUUUCCUUACACCUCUCUUCGACACGGAAAUUCAAGAGAGAAAUUUUUUUUAUCGCAAUCUUGUGGCAAUCGCGUCGAAUUCUUCAUUCAAAGUCGUUCAUAUGGAGGUAGGAGGAAGUAAGAUAAGUCAGCGAUUCUAUCGCUUUUUGAUGGAAAACUUGAAAUUUCAUCAAAUAACUCAGCCUCAAGCCACAAUGGCCUCAUCAGCAGGGGAAGUUGAGGGCACAGAUGAGGUAUCAAUGCGUGAGGAAUUGAUGGAGGAUGUUGAGAUGAGGGAGGUAAAUGCUGAUGAGUCACAUUUUAUGGCCACCAAUAUGUUCAGCAAUCAAAAGAGACCAACAAUGAUGUUUUAUCAGCCGGAUGGUUUCUGGAGAGGUGGCUUGAUUAGGAUCCAAGAGAACAGCGAAUACCGAUUGAAAUUGAAACUGUAUAUGAGAACUGAUAAUCAUUUCGCGUGUUUUCUUGGAGCGAUAAAAACCACUUUUGGUUGCAAGGUCACAUUUGUUGAUGAGGAAAAUUCUCAAGAUACAUGCUUAGUCAUUCAGAGUCUAAUUGAGGAGAUCAAUUGCAAAAAGCAACUUCUGAAAAUGCUUCCGGAAACAGGAAAGGAUGGAGAAAAUGUCAGAGAGUCUUUGAAGGAAGUCUUCCGCAAAGAACUGAAGACAGAUUACGUUUUCAACAGGCUCUCAUCAGAUCGCGAUCGAAACUUAAUCAAAUAAGCCAUCCUCAAGCCACAAUGGUCUCAUCAGCAGGGGAAGUUGAGGGCACAGAUGAGGUAUCAAUGCGUGAGGAAUUGAUGGAGGAUGUGGAGAUGAGGGAGGUAAAUGCUGAUGAGUCACAUUUUAUGGCCACCAAUAUGUUCAGCAAUCAAAAGAGACCAACAAUGUUGUUUUAUCAGCCGGAUGGUUUCUGGAGAGGUGGCUUUAUAUUAGAAUCCAAGAGAACAGCGAAUAACGAUUGAAAUUGAAACUGUAGAUUAGUACCGAUAAUUUAAUUUUGGCUGCAAGGCCACAUUUGUUGAAAAUGCUUCCGGAAA